rnacentral:rRNA from 1 species
UACAGAGGUGGCAAGCGUUGUUCGGAAUUACUGGGCGUAAAGGGCGCGUAGGCGGUCUUCUAAGUCUUGUGUGAAAUCCCUCGGCUCAACUGAGGAACUGCACGGGAUACUGGAAGACUUGAGUUCGGGAGAGGGAAGCGGAAUUCCGGGUGUAGCGGUGAAAUGCGUAGAUAUCCGGAGGAACACCGGUGGCGAAGGCGGCUUCCUGGACCAGAACUGACGAUCAGGCACGAAAGCGUGGGGAGCAAACAGG